GAUGAACGCUGGCGGCGUGCCUAAUACAUGCAAGUCGAGCGAACAGACGAGGAGCUUGCUCCUCUGACGUUAGCGGCGGACGGGUGAGUAACACGUGGAUAACCUACCUAUAAGACUGGGUUAACUUCGGGAAACCGGAGCUAAUACCGGAUAACAUGUUGAACCGCAUGGUUCAACAGUGAAAGACGGUCUUGCUGUCACUUAUAGAUGGAUCCGCGCCGCAUUAGCUAGUUGGUAAGGUAACGGCUUACCAAGGCAACGAUGCGUAGCCGACCUGAGAGGGUGAUCGGCCACACUGGAACUGAGACACGGUCCAGACUCCUACGGGAGGCAGCAGUAGGGAACCUUCCGCAAUGGGCGAAAGCCUGACGGAGCAACGCCGCGUGAGUGAAGAAGGUCUUCGGAUCGUAAAACUCUGUUAUUAGGGAAGAACAAAUGUGUAAGUAACUAUGCACGUCUUGACGGUACCUAAUCAGAAAGCCACGGCUAACUACGUG
rnacentral:rRNA from 1 species